rnacentral:rRNA from 1 species
AACGAACGCUGGCGGCAUGCCUAACACAUGCAAGUCGAACGAGACCUUCGGGUCUAGUGGCGCACGGGUGCGUAACGCGUGGGAACCUGCCCUUAGGUUCGGAAUAACUCCCCGAAAGGGGUGCUAAUACCGGAUAAUGUCUUCGGACCAAAGAUUUAUCGCGUUUGGAUGGGCCCGCGUUGGAUUAGCUAGUUGGUAGGGUAAAAGCCUACCAAGGCGACGAUCCAUAGCUGGUUUGAGAGGAUGAUCAGCCACACUGGGACUGAGACACGGCCCAGACUCCUACGGGAGGCAGCAGUGGGGAAUAGUGGACAAUGGGCGAAAGGCUGAUCCAGCAAGGCCGCGUGAGUGAUGAAGGCCUUAGGGUUGUAAAGCUCUUUUACCCGGGAUGAUAAUGACAGUACCGGGAGAAUAAGCCCCGGCUAACUCCGUG